rnacentral:rRNA from 1 species
UACGGAGGGUGCAAGCGUUAUCCGGAUUCACUGGGUUUAAAGGGUGCGUAGGUGGGUUGAUAAGUCAGUGGUGAAAUCUCCGUGCUUAACAUGGAAACUGCCAUUGAUACUAUAGGUCUUGAAUUUUCUGGAGGUCAGCGGAAUAUGUCAUGUAGCGGUGAAAUGCUUAGAUAUGACAUAGAACACCAAUUGCGAAGGCAGCUGGCUACAGGGAUAUUGACACUGAGGCACGAAAGCGUGGGGAUCAAACAGG